UUCCAAGUAGCUCUGUUGGUAGAGCAUGAGACUCUUAAUCUCAGAGAUGUGGGUUCGAGCCCCACUUUGGGCA